UCAAGUUAAAAAGAGCAUAAGGCGGAUGCCUUGGCACUAGGAGCCGAUGAAGGACGUGAUAAGCUGCGAUAAGCUUCGGGGAGUUGCACGUAAACUUUGAUCCGAAGAUUUCCGAAUGAGGAAACUCACUUAGAGUAAUGUCUAAGUAUCGUAUGAUGAAUACAUAGUCAUGCGAGGGGAACCCGGAGAACUGAAACAUCUAAGUACCCGGAGGAAGAGAAAGAAAUUCGAUUCCGUAAGUAGCGGCGAGCGAACGCGGAACAGGCCAAACCAGUGAAGUUUUCUUCGCUGGGGUUGCGGACAUAUCAUAACGAAGAGGUAUCGUAGAAGAAGAGAGUUGGAAAGCUCCGCCAUAGAUGGUAACAGCCCAGUAUUUUAAACGAGAAGACUUUAGAUAUGAUCCAGAGUACCACGGGACACGUGAAACCCUGUGGGAAGCAGGAGGGACCAUCCUCCAAGCCUAAAUACUACCUAGUGACCGAUAGCGUAUAGUACCGUGAGGGAAAGGUGAAAAGAACCCCGGGAGGGGAGUGAAAGAGAACCUGAAACCCUGCACUUACAAGCUGUAGGAGCACAUUAUUUGUGUGACUGCGUACUUUUUGUAGAACGGGCCAACGAGUUACGUUGUGUAGCAAGGUUAAGCACUUAAGGUGUGGAGCCGUAGCGAAAGCGAGUCUUAAAUGGGCGUCCAGUUACCCGACGUAGACCCGAAACCAGGCGACCUAUCCAUGAGCAGGUUGAAGCGAAAGUAAAAUUUCGUGGAGGACCGAACCCACGUACGUUGAAAAGUGCGGGGAUGACUUGUGGAUAGCGGUGAAAUUCCAAUCGAGCCUGGAGAUAGCUGGUUCUCCCCGAAAUAGCUUUAGGGCUAGCCUCAAGCUUAGAGAAACGGAGGUAGAGCACUGAAUGUCCUAGGGGGUAUUGCACUUACCGAAGACUAUCAAACUCCGAAUGCCGUAUUCUUUUGCUUGGGAGUCAGACUAUGGGUGAUAAGAUUCAUAGUCAAGAGGGCAACAGCCCAGAUCGUCAGCUAAGGUCCCUAAAUGUAAGUUAAGUGGUAAAGGAUGUGGAAUUGCACAGACAACCAGGAUGUUGGCUUAGAAGCAGCCACUCAUUUAAAGAGUGCGUAAUAGCUCACUGGUCGAGUGAUUCUGCGCCGAAAAUUUCCGGGGCUAAAACUUACUACCGAAGCUACGGCAUCAUUAUGAUGGGUAGGGGAGCUUUCUAUGCGGCUUGAAGCAUGACCGUAAGGACAUGUGGACUGCAUAGAAGUGAGAAUGUUGGCAUGAGUAGCGAGAUGUGGGUGAGAAUCCCACAGGCCGUAAACCCAAGGUUUCCAGGGGAAGGUUCGUCCGCCCUGGGUUAGUCAGGACCUAAGCCGAGGCCGAAAGGCGUAGGUGAUGGACAACAGGUUGAUAUUCCUGUACCACCAAUAACCGUUUGAGAAAUGGGAUGACACAGUAGGAUAAGCUAACCGCACUGUUGGUUAUGUGCGGGCAAGUAUUGAGGCAGUUCCGAUAGGCAAAUCCGUCGGAAUAAUGCUGGGGUACGAUGCGGAGCGAAAUUUAGUAGCGAAGUAGCUGAUUUCACACUGUCGAGAAAAGUCUCUAUCGAGGUUAAAGGUGCCUGUACCGCAAACCGACACAGGUGGGUGAGGAGAGUAUCCUAAGGCCAGCGAGAGAACUGUUGUUAAGGAACUCGGCAAAAUGACCCCGUAACUUAGGGAGAAGGGGUGCCUUCGAAAGAAGGCCGCAGAGAAUAGGCCCAAGCGACUGUUUACCAAAAACAUAGGUUUCUGCUAAGUCGCAAGACGAUGUAUAGGAGCUGACGCCUGCCCGGUGCUGGAAGGUUAAGGGGAUCUGUUAGAGCAAUCGAAGCAGUGAACUUAAGCCCCAGUAAACGGCGGCCGUAACUAUAACGGUCCUAAGGUAGCGAAAUUCCUUGUCGGGUAAGUUCCGACCC
rnacentral:rRNA from 1 species